UACGUAGGGGGCAAGCGUUGUCCGGAUUUAUUGGGCGUAAAGAGCUCGUAGGUGGUUCGGUAAGUCGGAUGUGAAAUCUCCAGGCUCAACCUGGAGGGGUCAUUCGAUACUGCCGUGACUAGAGGUCGGUAGGGGAGUGUGGAAUUCCCGGUGUAGUGGUGAAAUGCGCAGAUAUCAGGAGGAACACCAAUUGCGAAGGCAGCUCGCUGGGACGUUACUGACGCUGAGACGCGAAAGCGUGGGGAGCAAACAGG
rnacentral:rRNA from 1 species